GGGUCUAUAGCUCAGCUGGUUAGAGCACCGUGUUGAUAACGCGGGGGUCAUAAGUUCAAAUCUUAUUAGACCCACCA
rnacentral:tRNA from 1 species